AUCCAGCUGACGAGUCCCACACAGGACGAAUUGGGCAUCCUGGAU
rnacentral:hammerhead_ribozyme from 1 species